rnacentral:rRNA from 1 species
GCGAACGCUGGCGGCAGGCUUAACACAUGCAAGUCGAGCGGGCACCUUUCGGGGUGUCAGCGGCGGACGGGUGAGUAACGCGUGGGAACGUGCCCUCUGGUUCGGAAUAACUCAGGGAAACUUGAGCUAAUACCGGAUACGCCCUUUUGGGGAAAGGCUUGCUGCCGGAGGAUCGGCCCGCGUCUGAUUAGCUAGUUGGUGAGGUAACGGCUCACCAAGGCGACGAUCAGUAGCUG